CUGCAUCUACAACCAUAAAGCCGCAUCGUAAACCUAGGUUUCAAAUCAUAAACAUAUGCAUAGAUAUUUUACCGCAAUAGAUUAGCCCCUUCACAAAUCCCAUACAAAUAAUAUGAAAGUAUUCUUAUCCAUUUCCCUGAGUGACAUGUCUAACACAAGGAUGUGUUCUCUGUAUAGAGGAUAAGAGUGAGGGCUUUUGCACAACAGACCACAUCAGUGAUCAGAGUAAGAGGUUUUUGUACGAGGAUAUAUCACUGUGUCCCCCCCGUAUAUACACUGUGAUACAUGUAAUGACAAAAACCUACACAACGGACUUGCCUGCUUAAGCGAAGGCUAUGUAUGUUUCGGAGAGGGAUAAUGUUCCACAUGUGAAUAUUCAGAGACAAAAGGUAAGGACCAAUGGCUCUGUCGUUCUCACAACGACAGCGACAGGCUGGGAAAGUUCCAAGCUAUGAACACCUGCAAAAUAGAUAGACAGUAAGAAGCUUUCAAAUUAUUCAAGGCCAGUAGGCCUACAUUUCUUUAACCAAAUGCAUACUGCCGCAUUUAAAAAGCAAAAGCAGAACUACGUGAAACAUGAUUUAUGGUGUAGUUUUAGUUGUUUAAAAGAGUAUUCUUUCUACCCAAGAACUUAGAGGACUUGACAGUGUUGAACACAGACACUGUUUAUGUAGUAAAAAGAGGGGGUGGAUUUGCAUUUUGUAAAAAAGACAAAUGAUUACGUUACAGGUCGACGGGGCCGAUGCCCUUAUUAAGACUUCCUGGGUUUGUUUAUAUUUGUCGAUAUUGCAUUUCUAUUGCACGUUUCAGAACCUAAAAAUUAUCAUUUAUGUAUGUAUAUCUUGUGCUUAAUAUACCUAUACUUUCUUUGAAUAACAUGGAAUGUUUUCUGUCUUGCAAUUACAUGUUAUUACUUGUUGACAUUACAUGUGAAUGUUUUUAGUGGUUAAAUUACAUAUUUUGUCCUACUUCUUGUUUGUUGUACAUCCUGGCACUUAAUGUACUUAGUUAUUGUAGGUCAUAUUUAGUUAUGGUGCUUAGUAAUGUAGCAUGUUAACAUAUCUAUGUUGAAUACGGAAAAUGGGUUAACCUAGUGAUUGUUGGUGUUUUGCACUUGGUUCUAUGAACAUUCUUAUUGUACCGACAGCGAUAUAUUGUUUCACUUUUCUUAUGGACUAGUUAGUUGCUUUGGAUAAAAGCGUCGGGUAAUUGCCCUAAAUGUCUUGUAAUAACAUUGUCGUUGCUUUUCCAGCAGCAACUCAGAUCUUUAUACGGCAGUUUCUAAAAGUUGGAUUAAUAAAUUAAUGAAAAUGUAUUAGUACUAAUGAAAAAAGGUUCUGAUAGCAAACCAGUUCAUAAUAUCCAGAAUACAAGUGGCUGUAGGAUUUAAUACAUACAUUUGCCCUGUUUAUAUUUUCAACUAAUAAGAUAAUUGUCUGUUCCUCAGAGUUUGACUUUCUGUAUUU